CCUACGGGAGGCAGCAGUGGGGAAUAUUGGGCAAUGGGCGCAAGCCUGACCCAGCAACGCCGCGUGAAGGAAGAAGGCUUUCGGGUUGUAAACUUCUUUUCUGAGGGACGAAGAAAGUGACGGUACCUCAGGAAUAAGCCACGGCUAACUACGUGCCAGCAGCCGCGGUAAUACGUGGGUGGCAAGCGUUAUCCGGAUUUAGUGGGUGUAAAGGGCGUGUAGGCGGGAAAGGAAGUGAGAUGUGAAAACUCAGGGCACAAACCUGAGCCUGCAUUUGAAACUGUUUUUCUUGAGUGCUGGAGAGGCAAGCGGAAUGCGGGGUGUAGCGGUGAAAUGCGUAGAUAUACCGAAGAACACCGGUGGCGAAGGCGGAUUGCUGGAGAGUAACUGACGCUGAGGCGCGAAAGCGUGGGGAGCGAACAGGAUUAGAUACCCUAGUAGUC
rnacentral:rRNA from 1 species